GACGAACCGUGCGAACGUUGUUCGGAAUCACUGGGCUUAAAGGGCGCGUAGGCGGGUGCUCAAGUCUGUGGUGAAAUCCUCCGGCUCAACCGGAGAACUGCCAUGGAUACUGGGUGUCUCGAGGGUGGUAGGGGUAUGCGGAACUAUCGGUGGAGCGGUGAAAUGCGUUGAUAUCGAUAGGAACUCCGGUGGCGAAGGCGGCAUACUGGACCACUUCUGACGCUGAGGCGCGAAAGCCAGGGGAGCAAACGGG
rnacentral:rRNA from 1 species